AUGGCCUUCACUUUCCUCUCAAUCCCCAACUUUCUCUCUCCUCAACCUCACUUUCUCUCUCUAAGAUCCAAUUUCACUUCCCUCAAACCCUCAAUUCCCUCUCUUUCCACCCGGUUCAUUAAGCCCACCCACGCAAUCGGGCCGGACGGCAAGUACUACCCGGACCCGGCCGACGACGACCCGCCUGAAGCCCCGGAAGACUCGGGCCACGGAGUGUCCAAGUUCCAGCAAAUCCAGCGGCAGGCCUCGCGCCACCGCAAGCUCCAAGAGGAAGACUACUUAAAGCACCAGGACACCUUCCUCAACGCCAUUGCUGACGUGGAGGACGCGCCGGAGAAUCCCAAUUCCGUAAUCAACGACAACUCCGGGGACGAUUUGUUCGGCGACAUCGACCAGGCGAUUGCCUUGAAACGCAAGGAGUUUGUGAAGCAGGGGCUUCUGAAGCCAAACCCUAAGAAAGAGAUUGUGGCGGUUGACGAAUUGGACCCUGAGGAGGUAGUGGAUUUGGAGGAGAUUGAGGAGCUUCAGGGGAUUAGGGUUGUUGGCGAGGACGAAGAGGAAGACGGGCCGGAGAAAUUCGAUCCCAAGGUCAGUGAUUUGGAUGGUAAAGAUGGGAUUUUGCGUUUGAAUUCGGAGUUUGAUUUGGAUUUUGAUAAUUAUGGUAAAACUAGGGCUAGGAUUGUGGAACCGAAGUUUAAAAUGGGCUUGGCUGAGCUUUUGGAUGAGAGUAAAGUGGUGCCCGUGUCGGUUUAUGGUGACUUAGAAGUUGAGAUUACAGGAAUUCAACACGAUUCGAGGGUGGUUAAUGCCGGUGAUUUGUUUGUGUGCUGUGUUGGGAGCAAGACCGACGGGCAUUUGUAUUUGAGUGAGGCUAUUAAGAGAGGUGCGGUGGCUGUUGUAGCUAGUAAAGAGAUAUACAUGGAGGAAAGUCUGGGGUGUAAGGCAUUGGUCAUUGUGGAAGAUACAAAUGCGGAUUUACCUGCAUUGGCUGCGUCGUUUUAUCGGUACCCGUCGAAGAAUAUGGCAGUGAUUGGGAUAACGGGAACAAAUGGGAAGACCACAACUGCAUAUUUGAUAAAAGGGAUGUAUGAAGCGAUGGGAUUGAGGACCGGUAUGUUGAGUACGGUUGCAUAUUAUGUGCAUGGGGAUAAUAAGUUGGAGUCACCUAACACGACCCCGGAUGCUGUUUUGGUUCAAAAUUUGAUGGCUAAGAUGCUCCAUAAUGGGGCUGAAGCCGUUGUCAUGGAGGCUUCUUCUCAUGGUCUUGCUCUAUCCAGGUGCGAUGAAGUUGACUUUGACAUAGCAGUUUUCACAAAUUUAACGAGAGACCAUUUAGAUUUUCACAAGACUGAGGAGGAGUAUAGGGAUGCAAAGGCUAAGUUGUUUUCAAGGAUGGUGGAUCCGGAACGGCACAGGAAAGUUGUGAACAUUGAUGAUCCGAAUUCAACCUUCUUUAUUGCACAAGGCAACCCAGAUGUUCCAGUUGUGACCUUUGCCAUGGAGAAUAAGAAUGCAGACGUUCACCCCUUGAAGUUUGAACUUUCCUUGUUUGAGACGCAGGUUUUAGUCAAUACUCCAAAUGGUAUAUUGGAGAUAUCAUCAGGCUUACUUGGAAGACAUAAUAUAUACAAUAUACUGGCUUCUGUGGCUGUUGGGAUUGCAGUCGGAUCACCAUUGGAGGAUAUCGUUAGAGGAAUUGAAGAGGUUGAUGCAGUUCCAGGGAGGUGUGAAUUAAUAGAUGAGGAACAGGCCUUUGGAGUAAUUGUGGACUAUGCUCAUACUCCUGAUGCCUUGUCUAGGCUAUUGGAUUCUGUAAGGGAGCUUGGUUCAAGGAGGAUUAUUACUGUAAUUGGUUGUCCUGGAGAGAGUGACAGAGGGAAAAGACCCAUGAUGACGAAGAUUGCAACAGAUAAAAGUGACGUGACCAUACUGACGUCUGACAAUCCAAAGAAUGAAGAUCCAUUGGACAUUUUGGAUGAUAUGUUGGCUGGUGUAGGAUGGACAAUGCAAGAUUACUUAAAACACGGGGAGAACGAUUACUACCCACCUCUUGCAAAUGGUCAUAGGCUUUUCCUUCAUGAUAUUAGACGAGUAGCCGUACGUUGUGCUGUUGCCAUGGGCGAGGAAGGUGAUAUGGUUGUGGUUGCUGGCAAAGGGCAUGAAGCAUAUCAGAUCGAAGGUGGCAAAAAAGAGUUCUUUGAUGACCGGGAAGAGUGCCGAGAGGCGUUACAGUACGUUGAUGAGCUUCACCAAGCUGGAAUAGACACAAGUGAAUUUCCAUGGAGGUUACCUGAAAGUCAUUGAUCUCUUAUAAAAGGAGGAGGAAAUGGGAGGAAUGGUCCCUGAACUAUGCUCGAAUUGUAGAUUUAGUCCCUAAACUAAAAAAUCAUUAGAUUUGGUCCCUAAACUUAACAAAAUGUAUAGCAUUGGUCCCUCUAUACUAACACCGUGAGAUUUUCCGUUAGUUUGAUGACGUGGUCUUUGUGGGCUCCAUAUUUUUGUUCAUUAAAUGCCAUGUGGCUUAAAAAUUCAAAAUAAAAAUAAAUACAAACAUAGAAAAAGAAAAAAAAAUAAAAAAGUAAAAGUUAUCUCUCUCUCUCUCCCGUCUUCCCUUCUGCCUCGCCUCCUCCAAACCCCAGCUGAGUUCGUGAUCGUAGAACCCCAUCAGAGACAACUCCAGCAAAUUACCAAUGAUCAGAUACAAGCACAGCGGAAAAAAAAACCCCGAAGAUCGAAACAAUUAUUGAAACCCAGAAAAGAUUAUCAAAAGUGAGAAGAUUUCGUUUGUAUUUAUUUUUUUAGUUUAGGGAAGACGGGAGAGAGAGAAGGGAAGGGAAGAAGGGAAAUUGCGUUUGAAUUGUUCGGCUGCACUUCUUCUUCUCCUUCAUCAGCUCGCCAACAACCAGUACCCACCUCCAACCUCCAUAGAAGAAAGAGAAGAAGGGAAAUUGCGUUUGAAUUGUUCGGCCCGAUCGGGUGCUGCGCAAGGGGACACGUGGAAGCAAUCGGUCGAUGCAUAGGUGUGAGAAGUCAAAAGUCAAAGGCUUGACUGAGAGAGAUGCCGGAGGAGGAUUUGGUGGACAUAAAGUUCCGGCUGUACGACGGCACCGAUAUCGGGCCGUUCAGCUACUCAUCAGCCUCCACCGUCGAUAUGCUCAAGCAGAGGGUCGUCUCCGAUUGGCCCAAAGUGAACGGAGGUAUACUUCCACGUUGUUUUGAUGUACAAUAGGAGAUACUUUGUCCAGAAUGCAUGUGACCGUGUAUCAACCUUUGUCUGGUCAAGUCAACGAUGUACAUUAUAUGCGAAGGCAGUCGAUAACGGCUUCUUGGUUACUAAGACUGGUUGGUGAGGAGUUGGUCUUUUGAGGCAUUGUUGUAAUUUUAACCCUAGAAAGGUUAUUAGGUGACACAAUUUUUGUAAGGUUAUGCGUGUGUAGAAUGUAGAAUGUACUCGUAUGUAAUCUAAGAUCCUGUAUUUGCCAAUGUCACAAUUUAAAUUAUAACCCAAUUGAUUGGUCCAGUUAGUUCUC